rnacentral:ncRNA from 1 species
GUUGGUAGAGGCGCAGUGCGGAUGAGUACCGCGGCACAGGGGGCACCCGGUGACGCCGCGGAAAAGGCCAAAUUGCCGAAACUGGCUGCCGGGCGCGGCAGGUCAGUUGGGCGCAGGGAAAACAUCUCUGUGACUCC